ACGGAGGGUGCAAGCGUUAAUCGGAAUUACUGGGCGUAAAGCGCACGCAGGCGGUUUGUUAAGUCAGAUGUGAAAUCCCCGGGCUCAACCUGGGAACUGCAUCUGAUACUGGCAAGCUUGAGUCUCGUAGAGGGGGGUAGAAUUCCAGGUGUAGCGGUGAAAUGCGUAGAGAUCUGGAGGAAUACCGGUGGCGAAGGCGGCUCCCUGGACGAAGACUGACGCUCAGGUGCGAAAGCGUGGGGAGCAAACAG
rnacentral:rRNA from 1 species